rnacentral:rRNA from 1 species
UACAGAGGUCUCAAGCGUUGUUCGGAUUCAUUGGGCGUAAAGGGUGCGUAGGUGGCGGGGUAAGUCAGGUGUGAAAUCUCGAGGCUCAACCUCGAAACUGCACUUGAUACUGCCUUGCUUGAGUACUGGAGAGGAGAUUGGAAUUUACGGUGUAGCAGUGAAAUGCGUAGAUAUCGUAAGGAAGACCAGUGGCGAAGGCGGGUCUCUGGACAGUUCCUGACGCUGAGGCACGAAGGUCAGGGAGCAAACGGG